GAUGAACGCUGACAGAAUGCUUAACACAUGCAAGUCGAUGAUGGGAAGCUAAGCCUAGCUUAGAAGAAGUCAUGGCGGACGGGUGAGUAACGCGUAAAGAACUUGCCCUGCAGUCUGGGACAACAUUUGGAAACGGAUGCUAAUACCGGAUAUUAUGGUUUUUUCGCAUGGAGGAAUCAUGAAAGCUAGAUGCGCUAAGAGAGAGCUUUGCGUCCCAUUAGCUGGUUGGUGAGGUAACGGCCCACCAAGGCAAUGAUGGGUAGCCGGCCUGAGAGGGUGAACGGCCACAAGGGGACUGAGACACGGUCCAA
rnacentral:rRNA from 1 species